GAGUUGUAGUUUAAAGAAGCGUUUUCGGUGGCAACCUGGGUAUAAAUCCUUUGGAAUAGGGUAUCAUAGAGGGUGAGAAUCCCGUCUUUGACUCAGUGGAUGCUACUAUGUGAUACGUUUUCAAAGAGUCGAGUUGUUUGGGAAUGCAGCUCAAAAUGGGUGGUAAAUUUCAUCUAAAGCUAAAUAUUGGCGAGAGACCGAUAGCGAACAAGUACCGUGAGGGAAAGAUGAAAAGAACUUUGAAAAGAGAGUAAAAUAGUGCGUGAAAUUGUUGAAAGGGAAACGUUUGAAACCAGUGAUGCGGGUGGAAAAUCAGUCUUUUGAAGUGAGGAGUGGCACGAGUUUGGACCCGCAAGGGCCAGCUUGUGUCUCAUCUUUGCUUGAAGGGAUGCACUUUUCAUUUGCAGGUCAACAUCAGUUUUCUUUGCUGGAUAAAACUCUAAGAGAAUGUAGCAGCUUUGGCUGUGUUAUAGCUCUGGAGCGAUACAGUGAAGGGGACUGAGGUUUUUAAUUCGCAGCGUGUGCUCUCGGGCAAGGCUGACUGGGUGCUAUGAGAUAGCUCGGUGUACAAUGCUUGCAUUUUGCAUCGAGUCUGUCUUGUACUCGCUCAACUCGGCUCUUCCACGCUUAGGAUGUUGACGUAAUGGUUUUAAACGACCCGUCUUGAAACACGGACCAAGGAGUCUAACAUACAUGCAAGUGUUUGGGUGGCAAACCCAUACGCGUAAUGAAAGUGAACGUAGGUGCGAUCCGCAAGGUGCAGCAUCGACCGAUCUUGAUAUUUUUGGAUAGAUUUGAGUAAGAGCAUGCAUGCUGGGACCCGAAAGAUGGUGAACUAUGCCUGAAUAGGGUGAAGCCAGAGGAAACUCUGGUGGAGGCUCGUAGCGAUUCUGACGUGCAAAUCGAUCGUC
rnacentral:rRNA from 1 species